GCGCCGAGUUGAACAAAGCAAAUUUGACUUCUUGCCCAAAUUUUAAAGCAAAAUUAAACAAGAAAUGUCGAAGUCUGAACCUCGAGAGAAACUCAAAGACUGAACUAAGGUAUAUACUUUCUAUUUUACGUAAAAUGUACAUGUUUCGGCGAACAAAACUGCUUGAAAUUCUUGUCAAAGUUGACAGCCGAAAUUCCCUUCGGUCGCCCAUUCGAUAUUCGUCUUGUCCUUGCGUAAAAACAUUGAAUUUUAGACUUGCUCUUCGCUAUAUUUACUUUAAAUUACUAGAUAAAUUGUUAGAUAGAAUACUCAGGAUGUUUUAGAGCUAAAUUUAUGUUAACUUUUGUCAUUAUAGUGAAAAGAAAUAUUCAGUUCUCAACCUCGUGGGUCAUGUCAUGGAAGCAAAGUCGAUUCAGUAAAAUCGCUUUCUUGCUCCAAAUUUUAAAGCUAAAUUAAACAAGAAAUGUUGAAGUCUCUACCUCAAUUCAAACUGAGAAGUAUGUAUAUAUUCUUCUGUUAUAUUUAUGUAAAAUGCAUGGCCAUAUUUUUAGGUUCGAAUAUUCCAUAUUUUCCAUAUUUUAGGUUCCAUAUUUUUAGGUUCGUAGGUUCGAAUCCCACCGUGGCCGGGCAUAUUUUUCAAGCUCGCCCGGUGUGGAUACACACUCAGAGUAACAUCACAAAUAUCAUAUUCACCUGAGUACACAACACCAACACAGAAAAUAUCAUAUUACAAGAUUACACUGGUAUCGAAGGAACUAGAUUCUGUUCCGAAAUAUCACUUCCUCGAACCGUCCUGACCGCGUAGCUCAGUUGGAAGAGCAUUGGGCUGGUAUUCCAAAGGUCAUAGGUUCGAAUCCCACCGUGGCCGGGUAUAUUUUUCAAGCUCGCCCGGUGUGGAUACACACUCAGAGUAACAUCACAAAUAUCAUAUUCACCUGAGUACACAACACCAACACAGAAAAUAUAAUAUAUCACUUGCUCGAAACAACUUCAAAUGCCGAAGUUGACGAGCGCAACUCGCCUCGCCCGUUUGAUGUGCUGUCAUUGUCAUUGAAUUACAGAAUUUAGCCUCGGCUUUUUGGUAAUUCAACCCUGAAUUCAACCCUUGUUAGGGUGAUUUUAAAGCUAAAUUUGUUUAAAUAUUUGUCGUUUUUGCGAAAAUAAUUGAUACAAUCAUACAAACUAUGCAUAUUGAUAAGAGGAGAACCAUUAGAAAUGUGAUGGGGGGGGACAUUUUUUGUUUGUGUCUAUAAUUUUCUUAGAUAUAAUCCCUUGCAUGAAUUUUUUUUAUUUCAACUUAUAAUUUUCCCUGUUUAAAUGUCCUUGCACAAAGUUUUUUUUUUCAACUGUUUUAGUGCACGAUAUAUUUUCUUUCUGUUUCCCCCUGUGCAAUUUUUAAUUUUGCUACCCCCCUCCCCAUCACUUGUCUAACGGUCCGUCCCUAAAUACCGGUAUUCCUUAUUUUAAUAUGUACUUUUUGUUUGUGGAAACAUCACGUGAAUUUAUACUGCAGCAGGAAUAAAUUUACGUGGUGUUUCCACAAACAAAAAGUAUUAUGUUUUAUCGCCAUGGACACCAUGCAAAUCUACAAAGAACUUUAUAUUCCUUAUUUUAUUGUACUGUAUUAAAAAUGGUGGCAUACUGUACUAAUUUGAUUUGUUAUUAAUAUCUUUCUAAUUUUAUUUUCAGGCUGAGUGGAUCAAAAUUGAAAUGUGUGUCGCUGGAAAACCACUAUACCCCCUGCACAUUGGAUACUCAAAUUGUAAAGUGAAUUCAAAGAUAAAAAUGUUCAAUUCUCAACUUCAAGAGAAAGCCUGGUCUAAGGUAUGUUCUUUCUAUUUUAUGUAAAAUAUUUGGAAAACAGGCAUUUUCUUAAAACAAUUCAGAUUUUGAAAAAUAAUUUGAAAGAAAGACCACAGCCCACAUGCAAUAAUUGGACAAAUUGCCUCUUUCCGAGCAAAAAUAUUUAAUUUUUGGAUUGUUUCACAUUAAGGAGUGUUCAUUAUUUAUGGUUGGGUGGUGGGGGGGAUCAUAGGGGGAGGGGGAGUGUUUGUUUUUGGGGGUCACCAAAGUUUGAGGAGUAAUUGAGAGGGGGUCAUGAAAGUUUUAGUUCUGGCAAUGUUUUGACCUUAAAAUAUGUUAUUAUAGAACAUGAAAAUUUUGAAUUAUUACAUGGCUACAAGUUUACAGUGGGUCUAUUGUAAGUGGGGCCACUAACAGCACUUAGAUAACACUAACCAUCACAUUGCAG
rnacentral:tRNA from 1 species